ACUAUUUUUAGCCUAUUAAUUGAGAAUUCCAAAUAUCUUCUUUACUCAUUACAAUAUAUUUUUCAAAAACAAACUUAUAAAUGCUGGAGGUUCUCAACAUGUCAAUAUCUCAAUAUGUGUGUUCCACACCCAGUUCUAAAGCCUAAAGCUAACACUUUGUUCCAAACACAUUUCUAAAGCUAACAUUUUCUGGAAGACUUCAUAAAGGCUCGAAAUGACUGUAAAUUACGUUUCUACAUCGGAAAAUGAUGUGCAUUGCUUUCUAAUAUCCGCUGUGAAGCUAUGUUCACAGCAACUUCUGUCCAGAGAGACGAACCAACUCCCAUAUCUUCACAGUCCCAUCAUCACUGGCCGAAGCAAGAAGCCUCCUAUCCCCGGAGUUCCAUUGCACAGAAUUUACAUCCAUUUCAUGAGCCUUCUCUUUCUUCAGAAGUAGUUUAAAUGAAGGUCCCUCAACCUCAUUGUCAUUAUUCUCAACAAAUAAACAUAUAGCGUCAUCAGCUGCUCCACUAGCAAUUAUUCCUUCCCUUGACCAAUGAACUGAGAAAAUUGUCCUAUCAUGAUAUCCAGAUAGGGUGCAGACAUGUUCCCAAGGUGCAUUUUGAUCCCCUUCCUGCAUUUUGCUAGUCCAUACCUUAAUGGUAAGGUCAUCACUGCAAGAAACCAUUUUGUCUCCACUAGCAUCGAAAGAGAGAGACCAGACAGUAGAUGUAUGUCCACUAUUAGAUUCACCCAAAGUUUGAAUACAAUGCCAAUCAUCACUAUCGCCAUCCUCUAUCCAAACCUUAAUGGUGUUAUCAUAACUACAUGAGAACAAAGUAUCCAUAGAUGGAUUCCACUGAACCAUCUUAACAUCUUGUGUGUGCCCUUGUAACACUGAAACACAGUCAAACUCAUUUCCAGGCAACACUUCCCAUAUCCAAACCGACUUAUCUCGUCCACAUGUCGCAAGCAGUGAGCCCGAAUUAUUCCAAGAAACGCUUUUCACUUCAUUGUCAUGACCCUCCAACGUGGAGACACACUCAAAGUCAACCCCAACAUUUUCCCAAAUAGCAGUGGUGGCAUCAAAGCUAGCUGUUGCCAAAAAUUUGCCCGACGGUGACCAUGCACAUGAUCUAACAGUCCGUGUAUGUGUUUCCUCCAAAACAGCCUGACACUGGAAAGAGCCUGUGGAGUCCUCUUCCCAGAUUCGUACGGUUUUAUCGCCGCUGCAGGAAGCAAAUACAGCUGAAACACCAUUGAUUCCGGUAGCCGGUUUCCAAGCGACGCUCCAAACCUUAUCGGUGUGGCCUUCAAGCCUCUGAAUCUCUCUCAGUUCAAAAUUCUCAUCCUCAAAAUUCAUAGUAAAAACGGUGGAGCUGUGGUUGCAAACCUCUGUAUUGCCCACUUAAGUGGCGGAGUAGAUAGGAUGAUAGUUCAGGAUAGUAUACGCGCCGCCGUGAUUGGUGGAGGGUUUAGAUGACUGCGGUCACUAGGGG
rnacentral:misc_RNA from 1 species